AAUGAACGUUGGCGGCAUGGAUUAGGCAUGCAAGUCGAGCGAGAAGUGUAGCAAUACACGGAAAGCGGCGGAAGGGAGAGUAAUACGUGGGAAUCUGCCCUUAGACCUGGGAUAGCAGCGGGAAACUGCUGGUAAUACCAGAUAAUGUCUAUGGACCAAAGGUGUGAUUCCGUCUAGGGAUGAGCCCACGUCCUAUUAGCUAGUUGGUAGGGUAAUGGCCUACCAAGGCGAUGAUGGGUAGCGGGUGUGAGAGCAUGACCCGCCUCACUGGGACUGGGACACUGCCCAGACACCUACGGGUGGCUGCAGUCGAGAAUCUUCGGCAAUGGGCGCAAGCCGUACCGAGCGAUGCCGCGUGCGGGAUGAAGGCCUUCGGGUUGUAAACCGCUGUCGAGGGGGAGCAACUUCCAUAGAGUUAUCUUUAUGGAUUGAGUGAUCCCUGGAGGAAGGACGGGCUGAGUUCGUGCCAGCCGCCGCAGUAA
rnacentral:rRNA from 1 species